AGACAAAUAAGGCAUUGUAAACCCCAGCCUGAAGCAAGACCAAAUAGAAAUCCUGUUAAGCUGCUCGCUUAGGAUUUGGGUAGGUUGCUAGAAUAUUAUGGCAACAUAAUAUCAAGAUAGAUGAUCAUCAUUCACAGAAUCCGGCUUAUAGACCAACUCACUUU
rnacentral:RNase_P_RNA from 1 species